rnacentral:rRNA from 1 species
CCUACGGGUGGCAGCAGUGAGGAAUAUUGGUCAAUGGACGAGAGUCUGAACCAGCCAAGUAGCGUGAAGGAUGACUGCCCUAUGGGUUGUAAACUUCUUUUAUAUGGGAAUAAAAUGUUCCACGUGUGGGAUUUUGUAUGUACCAUAUGAAUAAGGAUCGGCUAACUCCGUGCCAGCAGCCGCGGUAAUACGGAGGAUCCGAGCGUUAUCCGGAUUUAUUGGGUUUAAAGGGAGCGUAGGUGGAUUGUUAAGUCAGUUGUGAAAGUUUGCGGCUCAACCGUAAAAUUGCAGUUGAAACUGGCAGUCUGGAGUACAGUAGAGGUGGGCGGAAUUCGUGGUGUAGCGGUGAAAUGCUUAGAGAUCACGAAGAACUCCGAUUGCGAAGGCAGCUCACUGGACUGCAACUGACACUGAGGCUCGAAAGUGUGGGUAUCAAACAGGAUUAAAUACCCCUGUAGUC